rnacentral:rRNA from 1 species
UACGGAGGGGGCAAGCGUUGUUCGGAAUUACUGGGCGUAAAGGGCGUGUAGGUGGCCAACUAAGUCAGACGUGAAAUCCCUCAGCUUAACUGGGGAACUGCGUCUGAUACUGGAUGGCUUGAGAUUGGGAGAGGGACGCGGAAUUCCAGGUGUAGCGGUGAAAUGCGUAGAUAUCUGGAGGAACACCGGUGGCGAAGGCGGCGUCCUGGACCGUCACUGACACUGAGAAGCGAAAGCCAGGGGAGCAAACGGG